rnacentral:lncRNA from 1 species
CUUACAUCGUAUUCCUCGCUUCUGUUAUUUCGACUAAUUUCAUCGACCGGUUUCUACCACUGUGAUUCAAUUACGAUUCAAUGCGUUGCAAGAAAAAAUUGAAAAAAGAAAGACUAAAGUGCAUCUGUUGGAAGAUAUGUUUACAUUAACAUGAAAAUCGAACCACCGUGAGUCUGUGCACUUUAAGUAGUAUAAUCUUGUAAUAGCCAGACGUUACAGCAAGUUUCACAUUGCUUUAAGAAUAAAGCGGAAACUUUGGCACUUAUUUAAAACAUGUUGAAUAUGUAAGCUCUCCUAGAUAAUUUUUAACCUUCGAUGAGGACCAAUACACUUAGAUUGCUUAUUGUUGAUUUGGUUGAUCAUGUAUUGUAUUGCCAAAGAAAAUUCAUAGAAAUUGUGAGUUAUAUUAUUAUUUAAAUUUUUUCUGCAAACAAUUAAAAAACAGAUAAUGUAAAUUUUAACAAAAUGUGUGUAUCAAAAGAUAUCGUUGAAGUAAA